GACGUAGGGGGCCAGCGUUGUUCGGAAUUACUGGGUGUAAAGGGUUCGUAGGCGGUGUGGCAAGUCGGGAGUGAAAUCUCUGGGCUCAACCCAGAGUCUGCUUCCGAAACUGCUGUGCUUGAGUGUGGGAGAGGCGCGUGGAAUUGCAGGUGUAGCGGUGAAAUGCGUAGAUAUCUGCAGGAACACCCGUGGCGAAAGCGGCGCGCUGGACCACUACUGACGCUGAGGCGCGAAAGCGUGGGGAGCAAACAGG
rnacentral:rRNA from 1 species